UGCUUCAUUUAUGACAAAAAACAAAUUCAUGACAGUUCUGUAUAUUAGAGGUGGCAUCUUUUGCUGGGGGCAAAGUCCGAGCAUAGCUCCACGUCUGAGCCAGACCUGCCGGGGGCUGCUGCCAGAGCCCGGCCCGGCCGCCUUCGCCAUCCCCCCUUUGAUAGAUGUGCUAUCGUCAGAAACAAUCUGGUGCUUCCCUCGGAGGAGGUCUUCGGCAGAGGCAGAAGGACACCUGGCAGGAGCUUUUUCUGGAGGCUUCUAUGGAACUGCCUGUGGCAAUUGUAAAACAUCUGUGGCCCCACAUAUACUAGCACCAGAGCUGAAAGUGAAUCUGUUAGUGUCAGGGCUAACCACGAACACUUUUAGCCCCUGGAGAUCCAAAACAUUCUUAGCCACAAAAGAAACACAAGGUGUGAGAGCAACUGGGACCAGCUACAAGAAAUCACAAAAGGAUUCGAGGCAAGACGUGAUGGUUUUAUUCAUCCCCACUGUCAAGAGGCAGAUCACAGACUUUGUGAUUCACCAUAAAGAGCCCUGCCCUUCUUGGGGUGAAUUUUCUGAUUUCCGACUGUCAUGUGUGCUACGCCCCGGGGAAGGUCAAUCAGCAGGCAGAAACUGCUAGGCAACCACAGCUGGUCCUUAGCACACAAUCGACUGAUAGGAGCCGUUAGACAGCAUCCAUAUGGCGUUUGAAUGAGACAUCCCUCCACCCGCACUGGGAGAGAGAUUGCUUCUGAAGACCCUCCCCGGACCACAGAGUGGAAUUGAAACCUUAAAUAAUUCAGUGCCGUGAUUAUUUUUCUCACUUCUGUUCAGUUAUUUACAUGUUAUUACUCAUGACACAACAUUUAUGAUCCCUCUGAAAUCCCAAUUAAGAAUUGUGAUAAGAAAUUACCAUGUGCCAGUGCUGCCGAUUUGUCUUUCCUUGCACAAGUAGCUGUAUUUUAAUGACCUAGACAAUAUGCAUAUGUAACAUGGUCUACUUAUAAGUGAAAUCAAACACAAGCCCAAAUGCAGGCCAGUGCUGCCAGCAGGUUACAGUGAUUCUCUCAGCUUUGAAGGGGAUCUGGAAGGAGGAGCUUAGUUUUACCAUUUGCUGGUUCUGUGCUAUCCUUGGGGGCAUGAUAAAUGGCUAAGCAUCGUGUUAUGAUAUAACAACACAAAUAUAAUUUAAUAACUUGGGUGUCAAAUGGCUAAGAUUUAUGGUCAAGGAGGCUAAAUGUUCACAAGAAAUUGCUCCAGAGAUGCAGUCCUAUUGGAUUAAGAGAGAAAAAACUGGCAAACUCAACAUUUUAGACAACGCAUCUCUGUGUGGCUGGAGGCUUUGGAUGGCUUUUUUGCACUGUAUUAAUAUUUCCUUGUUGCAUUUCCAGAAACUCUCUUUCUAAUUAUAGUUUCCUGGGUUCACUCCGUGCAAAUUAAAAGCACAUUACUAUUUGGUAACUGCAGCGUAUGAAUCGUGUGCUGCUGCCUAAACAACAGGCUGCGGAGCGGGCCAGAUGUGGCCCCUUUCAUCUUCGUGUCACUGCAAAUGUUUGGAUGAGCAGCUUGCUCUGGGUCUCUGACUUACAUGAAGAUCCAAUCUACGAUGAGUGGGCAGAUGCUUUUUAUUUUCCAGCAAAAAAAAUAAUGAAGUAAGCUUUCUAAUGUCUUCCCAAGUCAGUAAGCUGCAGGUGGGGGGAAGCCAAAUGAGGAUUUGUGAGGCACCAGCAAACCGACUGGAGCAUCGCAUGCCACGGGUCUGAUCAAGGGGCAAGGUCCCUCCCAGUUGCAGCAGCUGGAGUAGCCCCAACCUUUGAAAAAUAAACUGUAGCUCAUAAGAAAGAGACCCUUCGCU
rnacentral:lncRNA from 1 species